UUCUUCAAAAAGGAGUAAGGAGGAUUCUUUUUCUCUCAAACUUGUUCAUCUUCAAGUAAGUUCUUCAAGAAAUUUCUUCAAUAAUUCUAGCUUCUAAUCUAGUUUUGUUUUUGAAAAUUGUAGGGAGAUCUUGCAAGUACCAAAGGAAAGUAGAAAGGUAUCGAGAAUAAUUAAAGCCAGUCAAACUUUUGACUGUUGAUUUUUGUGUAAUCAAGAGUUUAGAGAAGAAGUUGCAGGUACAAGUUCUUGAUGUGCAUGGAAAUCAUAAGCAUCCGGAUGGGAGUUUUUCGUACACGAGUACUUUCUUAUUUAAGUUAUCUUGAAUUUUAUAUUUGACUUUACUUGACCAAUGGGGUCAAGGUUUGACUUUUGAAUAUGGGACUAGUAUGGGAUAGUCUCGGAGUUUGUAAUUCAUUUACAUACUUUCUUAUUUCCGUUGUAUUAAAGUAUUUUCAGUUUAUCUUAAAAGACUUCCGCUGUAUUAUCUGAUUAGCCUUACGUAUUAUCAUGCGUGGCAUAACAACUCCCGCAAUUUCUCCUAGUUUAUAAAAGGAGGAGUCGUGGGGGUGUUACAGUAUGGAUUUUUCCCUUAUCAUCCGAAAGGAUGUUUUAGGUUGGCCCCCUGAUUAGUGGGUGGGUUGCCUAAGUCUUUUUUCCUUACCAAAAAAAAAAU